AUUAAUAGUUAUAGUCUUUAAAUUUAAAAUAAUUGGCGGUAUUUAAAUCUAAUUAGGGGAAUUUGUUAAUUAAAUGAUAAUCCUCAAGAAAACUUACUUUAAUUUAUUUAGUUUAUUUAUUGCCGUUGUAAGAAAAUUUUAAAAAAAUAUUAAAUUUUCUAAAUUUUUUUAAAAAAGAAAUUAUUUCAGGUCAUUAUGUAGUUUAUAUUAAAGUUUUGAUGAAUUACAAUAAAUAUAUUUUUAUGAAUGUUGUAAAGUAAAAUUGASUUGAAAUUGGACUUAAUAGUAAAAUAAAAUUAUUAAAUUUAUUUGAAUUUAGAAUUAAAU
rnacentral:rRNA from 1 species